AGUGAACGCUGGCGGCGUGCCUAAUACAUGCAAGUCGAACGGAGUGGCGCACGGGUGAGUAAUUUAUAGCUAAUCUGCCCUCCACUAGAGGACAACAGUUGGAAACAACUGCUACUACUCUAUAGUGUAGGUUGAGGCUAUAUUGUAUCAGCUAGUUGGUGAGGUAAUGGCUCACCAAGGCUAUGACGCAUAGCUGGUCUGAGAGGAUGAUCAGUCACACUGGAACUGAGACACGGUCCAGACUCCUACGGGAGGCAGCAGGAGGGAAUAUUGCUCAAUGGGGGAAACCCUGAAGCAGCAACGCCGCGUGGAGGAUGACACUUUUCGGAGCGUAAACUCCUUUUGUUAGGGAAGCGUUAGUAACUGAACGUCCCCUGACGGUAUCUAACCAGAAAGCCACGGCUAACUACGUGCCAGCAGCCGCGGUAAUUC
rnacentral:rRNA from 1 species